AUGAUUCAGCCAGUUGUAGUAUUUUUGUUAUUAUACCAUUUUGGUUUGCUUAUAUUAGGAAUGUUGUUUUUUGAAAAUUACUUAUUUAAAGACUUUGACAAUCGCUUUGGUAUUGUUAAAUUGAUUUUUUGCUUUUCUUUUGUUUUGUGUGUAUCUCUUUUAUCUAUUUUGAUAUUUCAGAUGUUAGGUGUGAUAAACCCAAGUUUGCAGAUUUUUAUUUGGUAUAUUGAUAUUUUGUUUUUGAUAUUAUUAGUUUAUUUAAUCAUUCCAGUUAGUUUAAUAUAUACUUAUGUAACAUAUGAAGAUGAACAUGUAUCUAACAGUUUGUUAAAAUUUAAAUAUUUUCAUUCAGCUUUAAAAAAAGUAAAACAUAAAACAGUAAAUUUGCCUGAUGAACAAAAGUCUAAUUUGAUGAAACGUUUAUUUUAUGCUAGUGAAGAUUUAAUAGUGAAAAUGAAAAAUUAUAGUAAAAAAAUAAAAAAAAAAAAAAAAAAAAAAAUAGCGAAAUUUGUUAUAGGUUGCAUAAUUUUUUUACCUUUAUUAUGGUUUUGUUUUUACGAAAUUUCAUUUUUGAUUUUUAAAAUACAUGGUGAUAUAAAUGAAGAAUUACAGAUUUAUAAUAUGGAUAAUUUAUUAAAAACAGUUAAUAGUGAACAAUAUAAAGAAUUUGCUGAAGAUAAUGAUAAAUAUAUUAACAAAAAUAGUGAUUUGUUUUUUAUUUUAAAAAUUAUUAAACAUUUAUUUAUUAAUAUAUAUGUUACUGGUAUGACGAUAGUUAGUUCAUUAUCUGCAUUUUCAAGUUUAUACAAUCCUUAUACUAACAUGAAUAAUUUUUUUUUUCAUGUAACUGUUAAAAAAGUAAAAAAUAUAGAAAAAAAAAUUACAUUUAUAACAAAGGAAUUAGCUUUAAAAAAAAAGUUAUUAUUAUUAUGUGAUCAUCCCGAUUUGAUGAAUAAAUAUGCUCAAAAUAAAAGGGUCAUUCCGUCUUUUAAUAAAAUUGAUAUUGCAAGUACGUAUUUAAAAUACAUUACUACUAAUUAUACCGAUUUCGGUGAUUAUCAUUAUUACUUUAAUAACAACGUGAGUAAUAUAACUACAAAUACUGGUAUUAAACAUAAUGAUUUUGUUAAAAAUAAAUUCCAUUCGAAUACUACAUUAUAUGAAAAUGAUUCCAUUUAUGAGUUAAACAAUUACACUACAGAAACGGAAACUACAACUUCAUGUUAUAAGGACUCUACUCCGAAUCAAAUAAAUUACAAUAACAUAAGUUAUAAUAAUAAUAAUAAUAAUAAUAAUAAUAAUAAUUAUUUAUAUAAUAAAAACAAAAAAGAAGAAAAAACAAACAAAAGUUGUAACAAAUUAAAAGAAUUAAAUGUAUCAAAUAAUAAGUGUGCUACAUAUUCGGGUAUGGAAAAUUGCAAUAGUAAUAAUAAUACAUAUAAUAAUAAUACAUAUAAUGAUAAAAUAAAAAAUGACCAAAUAAAAAAUGAUAAAAUAAAAAAUGAACAAAUAAAAAAUGACCAAAUAAAAAAUGACCAAAUAAAAAAUGAACAAAUAAAAAAUAACACAUAUUAUCCAAAGGAUGAAAUAGAAUAUAUAUAUUCUAUGUCAUAUAAAAAAUGUAAUUUAUACUUAGCAAAUAAAACAUCGAUUUAUGACGAUAUAUGUAAGAAUGUGUUGAUGAAACAACAGGGAGUAGGAGCAGGUGUAAGUACAAAAGUAGGUACAGAAGUAAGUACAGAAGUAAGUACAGAAGUAGGUACAGAAGUAAGUACAGAAGUAGGUACAGAAGUAGGUACAAAUGAAGAAGAAAAAGAAAUAAAAAGAAAAAUGACUAGUAUAUUUUAUAAAAAUAAAAAAAAGCAUAGAGAAGAGGAAGAGGAAGAGGAAGAAGAAGAUAUUGAAGUAAAAGAAGAAGUAAAAAAAAUAAAAGAGUUAGAAACAGAAAUUAUUAAAGAAAUACAAAUAAUAGAAAGAAAUGAAAGUUUAAGUUUAAUUAAACAUGAUCAACAUCACCUAAAUAUAAACUUAAAUUUAAAUUCGAUUUUAAAUAUAAGUUUAUAUCAUGAUGAAUUACAACAACAAAAACAAUUUACAAAAGAUUUCAACCCAAAUGAUAAAAAAUUGGAAUUACAAGUUAUUAAUCCAAAUAUAUCUAGCGAUAUACCUCCAAACAUAGUUAGUCCUUUUAUUGAAGAUUUAAGAAGUAGUGGUAAUAAUUUUUUAUAUAAAAGAAAUGUUUUCUCUCACAAUCUUUCAAGUGAUAAUAAAAUUAUAAACUAUAACAAUUUUCAGUAUUUCGAAACAUUGUCUGAUGAUAAAAUAGAUAAUACUAAUGUGAGGACAAACAAUGAUGAGCAUUAUAUAACUAAUCAAUUUUAUGAAAAUAAAAAUCAAGAAAUGUAUAAUGAUGAAUAUAAUAAAGGACAUAAUAAUAUUACUCGAACGAAUAGUAUACAAAGAAAUAAACUACUACAACAUGACAGAUUACACAAAGAAAAUAAUAAAGAUAAAGAAAAUAGAAAAAGUUUUAAUUUGGACAAAGUAAGUUUUUAUAAAAAACCUUUAGUCUCAUUUAAAAAAUUAUUUAAAAGUGAACAUUCACUACCAUAUAUUGUAAAAAAUAAUAAAAAUUUAUCACCUGAUUUUACAUCUUUUAUUUCAAAAAGUCACAUAUCCAAGAGUUUGUAUAGUAAAUUACUUAAUCCAUUAACAACUAUUAAAAGUAUAAAAAACUUAUUUUUUUCAAGAAUAGAAAAUAUAAGUAAAAAAAAAAAAAGAAGCGUUAAAAAAAGAUAUUAA
ensembl:lncRNA